AGUGAACGCUGGCGGUAGGCCUAACACAUGCAAGUCGAACGGCAGCACAGUAAGAGCUUGCUCUUACGGGUGGCGAGUGGCGGACGGGUGAGGAAUACAUCGGAAUCUACUUUUUCGUGGGGGAUAACGUAGGGAAACUUACGCUAAUACCGCAUACGACCUACGGGUGAAAGCAGGGGAUCUUCGGACCUUGCGCGAUUGAAUGAGCCGAUGUCGGAUUAGCUAGUUGGCGGGGUAAAGGCCCACCAAGGCGACGAUCCGUAGCUGGUCUGAGAGGAUGAUCAGCCACACUGGAACUGAGACACGGUCCAGACUCCUACGGGCGGCAGCAGUGGGGAAUAUUGGACAAUGGGCGCAAGCCUGAUCCAGCCAUACCGCGUGGGUGAAGAAGGCCUUCGGUUUGUAAAGCCCUUUUGUUGGGAAAGAAAAGCAGCAGGUUAAUACCCCGCUGUUCUGACGGUACCCAAAGAAUAAGCACCGGCUAACUUCGUG
rnacentral:rRNA from 1 species